GUGCCAGCCGCCGCGGUAAGACGUAGGGGGCGAGCGUUGUCCGGAAUUACUGGGCGUAAAGCGCAUGUAGGCGGUUCGUCAAGUCGUGUGUUAAAGCCCCUGGCUCAACUGGGGGAGUUCAUGCGAGACUGACAGACUUGAGGCCAGUAGAGGCACGUGGAACUCCCGGUGUAGCGGUGGAAUGCGUAGAGAUCGGGAAGAACACCCGUGGCGAAGGCGACGUGCUGGGCUGUAACUGACGCUGAGGAACGAAAGCCAGGGUAGCGAAUGGGAUUAGAUACCCCAGUAGUCC
rnacentral:rRNA from 1 species